CCUAAAGCCCUGCAACACA
rnacentral:tRNA from 1 species